AUUGAACGCUGGCGGCAGGCCUAACACAUGCAAGUCGAGCGGAGCGGCAGACGGGUGAGUCAUGCCUAGGACUCUGCCUGGUAGUGGGGGAUAAAGUCCGGAAACGGGCGCUAAUCCCGAAUACUCUCAGGUGAGCCUAGGUCGGAUUAGCUAGUUGGUGGGGUAAAGGCCUACCAAGGCGAAGAUCGGUAACUGGUCUGGGAGGAGGAUCAGUCACCCGGGAACUGAGACACGGUCCAGAGGCCUACGGGAGGGAGCAGUGGGGAAUAGGGGACAAUGGGCGGAAGCAUGAUCCAGCCAUGGAACGUGUGUGAAGGAGGUCUUGGGAUUGUAAAGCACUUUAACUUGGUAGGCGGUACCAGCAGAAGAAGCACCGGCUAACUUCGUGCCAGCAGCCGCGGUAAUAC
rnacentral:rRNA from 1 species